rnacentral:RNase_P_RNA from 1 species
GCAGGCGGCUGGAUGAUCGCUGCCGUCUUCACCGCAAGGUGUUUGACGGGGGAGGAAAGUCCGAACUCCGCAGGGCAGUGUGCCGGAUAACGUCCGGGACGGAGGUUUCAAGACCUCUGGACGGCAAGUGCAACAGAGAACGAACCGCCUCAGGUUGGUGAUUUACUUCGGUAAAUCCGCAAGCGGCCUGGGGUAAGGGUGAAAAGGUGCGGUAAGAGCGCACCGCGCGGCCAGUAAUGAACGCGGCAGGGUAAACCCCACACGGAGCAAGACCAAAUAGGCAGGGAUUUUGCCGCUCCUCUUCAGGCGGCAAGAGCGUAUCGGCCCGAUGCGCCCAGGCGAAGAGACUCGAAAGGGAGCCGAAACUUGCGGGUAGGUUGCUAAAGCGCCGCAGUAAUGCGUCGCGUAGAGGAAUGAUCGUCUAAAACAGAAUUCGGCUUACGGGCCGUCUGCAAAC